rnacentral:rRNA from 1 species
AGAGCAUAAGGCGGAUGCCUUGGCACUGGGAGCCGACGAAGGACGUGACAAGCUGCGAUAAGCUACGGGGAGGAGCACAUAUCCGUCAAUCCGUAGAUUUCCGAAUGGGGGAACCCACCUAUAGUAAUGUGUAGGUAUUUUCGUAUGAAUCUAUAGUACGAAUAAAGGCAACCCGGGGAACUGAAACAUCUAAGUACCCGGAGGAAGAGAAAGAAAAAUCGAUUUCCUAAGUAGCGGCGAGCGAAAGGGAAAGAGGCCAAACCGUUAGUUUACUAACGGGGUUGUGGAUCACAGCCGUGGUAGAUACAAGUUUAGCAGAAGACAACUGGAAAGUUUGCGACACAGAGGGUAAUAUCCCCGUAUGCGAAAAAUGAGUAUCACCUAUGUGACACCAGAGUAGGACCGAACACGUGGAAUUCGGUUUGAAGCCGGGGGGCCCACCCCCCAAGCCUAAAUACUACCCAGUGACCGAUAGUGAAUAGUACCGUGAGGGAAAGGUGAAAAGGACCCCGGGAGGGGAGUGAAAUAGAACCUGAAACCUUAUGCUUACAAGCAGAGGGAGCGCAAGUGACCUCGUACUUUUUGUAGAACGGGCCAACGAGUUAUGGUAUGCAGCGAGGUUAAGGUGCUGGAGCACUGGAGCCGUAGAGAAAUCGAGUCUGAAAGGGCGAAAGUUGCAUGCUGUAGACCCGAAACCGGGUGAUCUAUCCAUGUCCAGGUUGAAGUAACUGUAAUAGGUUAUGGAGGACCGAACUUAUAUCUGUUGAAAAAGGUUAGGAUGAGGUGUGGAUAGGGGUGAAAUUCCAAUCGAACUCGGAUAUAGCUGGUUCUCCUCGAAAUAGCUUUAGGGCUAGCCUCGUAGUAAGAUACCUGGGGGUAGAGCACUGAAUGUUCUAGGGGCCUUCACCGGUUACCGAAAACUAUCAAACUCCGAAUACCAGAGUAUCAUCUACGGGAGUCAGACUAUGUGAGAUAAGUUUCAUAGUCGAAAGGGAAACAGCCCAGAUCGUCAGCUAAGGUCCCAAAAUAUAGGUUAAGUGGAAAAGGAUGUGGGGUUGCACAGACAGCUAGGAUGUUGGCUUAGAAGCAGCCAUUCAUUCAAAGAGUGCGUAAUAGCUCACUAGUCGAGUGACCCUGCGCCGAAGAUAAACGGGGCUAAAACCUAUUACCGAAGCUACGGAUACUUAAUGUAUGGUAGAGGAGCGUCGUAUACGGGUUGAAGCAGUACUGUAAGGUAUUGUGGACUUUAUACGAGAGAGAAUGUUGGCAUGAGUAGCGCGAGGCAGGUGAGAAUCCUGCCCACCGAAAAUCUAAGGUUUCCUGAGGAAGGUUCGUCCACUCAGGGUUAGUCGGGGCCUAAGCCGAGGGCGAAAGCCAUAGGCGAUGGAUAACAGGUAGAAAUUCCUGUACCACCGAAGGUUGUUUGAAUGAUGUGGGGACACAGGAGGAUAAGCUGAGCACGCCGUUGGUAGAGCGUGUCCAAGCGUCAAGGGAGUAUGAAUAGGCAAAUCCGUUCAUAUAUAUUCUGAGGCGUGAUGGGGUGGUCAAUAGACCGGAAGCAGCUGAUUUCACACUGUCAAGAAAAGCCGCUAAUUAGACCUAAGGUGCCCGUACCGCAAACCGACACAGGUAGAUGAGGAGAGAAUCCUAAGGUGAGCGAGCGAACUAUUGUUAAGGAACUCGGCAAAAUAACCCCGUAACUUCGGGAGAAGGGGUGCCUGCUUCGGCAGGCCGCAGUGAAAAGGCCCAGGCAACUGUUUACCAAAAACACAGGUCUCUGCAAAAGCGAAAGCUGAAGUAUAGGGGCUGACGCCUGCCCGGUGCUGGAAGGUUAAGGGGACGUGUCAUCGCAAGAGAAGCACUGAACUUAAGCCCCAGUAAACGGCGGCCGUAACUAUAACGGUCCUAAGGUAGCGAAAUUCCUUGUCGGGUAAGUUCCGACCCGCACGAAAGGCGUAAUGAUCUGGACACUGUCUCAACAAUAGGCUCGGUGAAAUUGUAGUACCGGUAAAGAUGCCGGUUACCCGCAGCAGGACGGAAAGACCCCGUGGAGCUUUACUGUAGCUUGAUAUUGAGUUUCGGCGUUGCAUGUACAGGAUAGGUGGGAGACUAUGAAGCAAGUACGCCAGUAUUUGCGGAGUCAUCGUUGGGAUACCACCCUUGUAACGCUGGAAUUCUAACCAUGUACCGUGAACCGGUGCUGAGACAGUGUCAGGUGGGCAGUUUGACUGGGGCGGUCGCCUCCUAAAGAGUAACGGAGGCGCCCAAAGG